ACAGCAAAGCAAGUAUAAAAGGGUGGAAGAGAAGAAGGCUGAAGCUAAGAUGUCAUCCUCUUGUUUAGAAGAUUAAACUAAUCUUCAUCUCAUGGUGACAGCCUGGGUUGGCAUCCUCACACUGCUGUUGACAAAUGAUUUUGUGACGAUGCGCAUUUGUGUUAACCCAUAUUAGCAGUAGGAGUCAGGCACUGGAGUUACAGUAUGUGUCAUCAUCACAGAGUGGGAAAUUGAUUGAAACAAUUUCCUAUCUAGCCACAGUGGGCAGCUCCUAAGCUGUUUUGGUCUUUGCACAAAGGAAGAAUUUAAAGGAAUUCAGUACUGAAACAAGUUUACUCUGACAAAUACAUCCUCAUCCAGGAUCUAAUGCCAUUGCCAGUGGAGAACGCAGCCCUGAUCUGAAUGGUGGAAAAGAAUGUGUAAAUUAUUGAACCAUAGAAUCACAGAAUCACAAAGGUUGGAAAAGACCACUGAGGUCAUCUAGUCUAACUGUCAGCCUAUCCACUCCAUACCCAGUAACCAUUUCCCUCAGUGCCACAUCUACACGUUCCUUGAACACUUCCAGGGACAGUGACUCCACUGCCUCCCUGGGCAGACAGAGCAUUGAUCAUUGCAUCAUCACUUCCUGGCAUGGACAGAGAGAGGACAUGGUGGUGCAGCACUAAAAACCUAACAGUAUCCUGGAAUAUUCACUACUUGGCCUGGCCUCUUUGGAUUUCAGCAUGAUUAACCUGUGUUAUACAAGCUCAUACCUUCACCUGGAAUGGUAACCAAUUACAUAGUUAGUCACUGAAAUAAACUAUCUACUAGAACAGCUUGGAAGUGCUCUUUAGAAAAACACUGUUAGAAAAAAAGAAGGAGUAUUUAAGAAAAAUAUUUUUCCUCAAAUACUGAAGAAUUUGAAAGAAAGCAAAACAUACUGCAGAAAGCCUUUGUUUAAUAAACUCCUGAAUUUUCCCAUUACUGCAAAGUUAGAAUGGAAAAUACUAGAAGAGUCUCAGUGCUUGAGAGUGGAUGACCUUAUCAGACUGCUGCAAGAUGCAGAAAAGCAGAACCACGAAUUCCCUUCUCUCCAGGGUACUUGCUCAGGAGCAGGCAAUGAGCAAAUCACGGCUAAGGUCUUCAGGUGCAACAGAGCAUAUAUAUUGCCACUCACCAAGGAGGACAGCAUUCACCCCCAGAGAUGUGCUUUUGUGCAUGUGGCUUAAAACAGCAUUUACCUAUUUUUUCCUCUUUUCCCCUCUUCUGAAGCCAUUUCAUUUGUGCAAAUUCACAUCUAGAUUGCUCUUUGUUUUAGAGGAAAGGCUCCAUCAUCGUGAUCCACAGAGGCUUGGGACAUUGUAAUAGAAUUGCGUGUCUUGUUGGACUCAGAAAUUUCAAGAGGCACAAACUUCAUACCAUGCUGAAUUUAAGCCAUUCUUGGCAUCAUCAGGAGACCAUGGGCUCAGCUUCAGACUCUCCUGAGGCUUAUGCGUAGUACAUAAACUCAAAUAGUAACUCCCACUUCUUCCUGGCCAUGCAUUGUGCACAAAAGAGGAGAGGAAGCAGGAACAUCGUUUGCACUAAGGCAACACUGAGAAGAUCCUACUGUUUGAAGAUGAGGUCAUGAUUGCAGUGGCAUAGUUAUUUACUUCCUAAUGAUGCAAGAACUCACUGCAAAUAAAAAAUAUAAAGAACAACUCUUCCCUUUAUAUCUCUUGCUGAGAGAAUGCUGAUUGCAUGUCAAGGAAUGGUGUUUUUAGGUUAAAAUAAAGUUAUUAUUAAGAUGUUUUUGCUUGUUUCAGGCCUGGUUUUAUAAUGUCACCUCAGUGAGUUAGUCCUACUGAAAUAAAGGAGGAGCCUCCUGUUAUUUAAGUAUAGACUGGUAUGGUUGCAGUUUUUUACUGUUUUGUUUUUGUUUUUGUUGUUGUUGUUGUUGAAUUUCCGUAUUUAGGAGAGCAAAGGGAAUGGAUAAAUCUUCUUGGGCAUCACUGCUGUCUCAGCUACCAAACCAUGCUCAGGUGGAUCCAGUGCCACAGUUGCAUGGUUGGCAUUGUUGUUGUCAACCUAAUUAAUAGUUUCAUCAUUUAAAAAUGGGUGAAAAAGGUGAUAGGUGUUUUGUUGUUGUUGUUGUUUUUGGUAGGUUCCAGUUUGCUUGCAUUUCAUGCUACUAAAAUAAUAAAAUUGCAUUGGAUGCCACUUUAUCAGUCUGAUAACCUCGGAGAGAAAUAGCAUUACUCCUAUGGCUAACUUAAAUACGAGCUGGAACAGCACCUAUGAAGUCAAUAAACCCCUUUCUUGGGUUUCAGAAAUGCUGAUUCACUCAAAUGCAGUUAAAAGAAUAACUGAAUUGAUUAAAUCACACUUGAAUUAAAGUCGAGGCUCAAAUAUUUUGAUGCAUUUGACAGAAAAUCAAAAUAACUUUUAUGCAGUGAAGAAUGGACUGAAAAAGUAUUUCUGCCUCUUCAGUGAACAGGAAAGUGCUCAGUUCAGAUGAAAUGGUUAUCUUGACCAUUUCCAUGUAGCUCUUUGAUAGGUUCAUCUCUAUUUGCAAAUACUUGUGUUAUUACCUUUCUCGUGAUUUACAGGGGUGAACAGCUUCUGAGCAGAUGCACACUGAUAAUCACCUUGCACGUUUAUGAGAGGAUACAGUCUCUUUCCAGCAGACUUUUUGAUGGCCACCGAUCCAGAUCUCCAGGUUCAGUUGUGCAGUACUGUGGUGGGCUGACCUUGGCUAAGGGUCAAACGCCCACCUACUUUCACACUUCUGCUCUGCAAUUGUUUUCCAACUGCCUCUUUACUAAUGCCUUGCCAGGUUUCUGGCUAUUCUAGCUAUACUAAUUGACUUCUUACUGGUCAAAAUUCCCCAGGAACCUUCGCAGCUGGACAGACAAAAAUGAAGUUCAGGCACUGUCACAUUUUCUUCACUCACAGAAGCUAGGGACAUCCCAAUUUUCGAUCUCUCUUCGCUGAGCUAUUGCGUUUCUUAUCAAAGAUGAUGAAGAGUUCUGGUUCUGCUGAUGUCAUUCGCUCCUCUCAAGCAUAAGAUAUCCUGUCAAGACUACCAACGGGAAGAUGCUAUAUGGUAAGAACCUCCCAGUGCGAUAAAUGAGAUAAUGUCUUGAACUUGUAAUAUUUUUCUAAUAGAUAC